AUUGAACGCUGGCGGCAUGCUUUACACAUGCAAGUCGAACGGUAACAGGCCGCAAGGUGCUGACGAGUGGCGAACGGGUGAGUAAUGCAUCGGAACGUGCCCAGUCGUGGGGGAUAACGCAGCGAAAGCUGUGCUAAUACCGCAUACGAUCUAUGGAUGAAAGCGGGGACCGUAAGGCCUCGCGCGAUUGGAGCGGCCGAUGUCAGAUUAGGUAGUUGGUGGGGUGAAGGCCUACCAAGCCGACGAUCUGUAGCUGGUCUGAGAGGACGACCAGCCACACUGGGACUGAGACACGGCCCAGACUCCUACGGGAGGCAGCAGUGGGGAAUUUUGGACAAUGGGCGCAAGCCUGAUCCAGCAAUGCCGCGUGCAGGAAGAAGGCCUUCGGGUUGUAAACUGCUUUUGUACGGAACGAAACGGUCUGGGUUAAUACCCUGGGCUAAUGACGGUACCGUAAGAAUAAGCACCGGCUAACUACGUGCCAGCCGCCGCGGUAAUAC
rnacentral:rRNA from 1 species